rnacentral:rRNA from 1 species
GACGAACGCUGGCGGCGUGCUUAACACAUGCAAGUCGAACGAAAAGAGGGAAAGAGCUUGCUCUUUCCGGAAUUGAGUGGCAAACGGGUGAGUAACACGUAAACAACCUGCCUUCAGGAUGGGGACAACAGACGGAAACGACUGCUAAUACCGAAUAAGUUCCAAGGGCCGCAUGGCCCAUGGAAGAAAAGGUGGCCUCUACCUGUAAGCUAUCGCCUGAAGAGGGGUUUGCGUCUGAUUAGCUGGUUGGAGGGGUAACGGCCCACCAAGGCGACGAUCAGUAGCCGGUCUGGAGGGAUGAACGGCCACACUGGAACUGGGACACGGUCCAGACUCCUACGGGAGGCAGCAGUGGGGAAUCUUCCGCAAUGGGCGAAAGCCUGACGGAGCAACGCCGCGUGAGGGAUGACGGCCUUCGGGUUGUAAAACUCUGUGAUCCGGGACGAAAAGGCAGAGUGCGAAGAACAAACUGCAUUGACGGUACCGGAAAAGCAAGCCACGGCUAACUACGUG